GGAGUGUGGCAAUGUUGUCCUAAUCCAGAGAGAUCCCCCAAGUAUCAUUCUGUCCUGGGUUCAAAGGGUUUCAACUGUGUUCCUGACACUGUUGGUUACCGCAGGAUGCAGUUCAUGCCCAGACCUGAUGGCAGAGCUGAGAAUGGGAAGCGGUGACCUGACAAGUGCUAAGAGGAUAGAGCUGGAUAAAGGACGCGACAACUUUGUUUUUUUCUACAACAUUUCAAAUGCUAUUAGAUUGUUAAUGAUAAUCUUUAAUUUUUAUAUUUUUAUUAAGCCUUGUUGUGCAAGCACUGAUGAGCUUGUGCAGAGGCAGCAGCUUUUGCCAGAGGGGAACUGGAAUCCCCUGGUUGGGCCUGGGUUCCCCUGAGUUUUUUUUUCUCGAUGGGAGUUUUGGGUUCCUCACCACCGUUUGCAUAUUGUUUUGCACUAUCUGCCUGGCCGGGGGGGCUGCUUUAGAAUUCAUACUUGUAUUAAAUGUGUCUCAUGUACAGCUGCUUUGUAACAAUGAAAAUUGUAAAAAGCGCUAUAUAAAUAAAGUUGAGUUGAGUUGA